GAUAAGGUGGCUGAUGAAAGUGUUAGACUGUAAAUCUAAAGAUGAGAUGUUCUCUCUUAUUA
rnacentral:tRNA from 1 species